rnacentral:rRNA from 1 species
GCGACCCCAGGUCAGGCGGGACUACCCGCUGAGUUUAAGCAUAUCAUAAAACCGGAAG